rnacentral:rRNA from 1 species
CAAAAACAUGUCUUUUUGAUUAUAAUUUAAAGUCUAACCUGCCCAAUGAGGAGUUAAAUGGCCGCGGUAUUUUGACCGUGCAAAGGUAGCAUAAUCAUUAGUUUUUUAAUUGAAAGCUGGUAUGAAUGGUUGGACGAGAAAAUAACUGUCUCGAUUUAAAUUAAAUUAGAAUUUUAUUUAUGAGUAAAAAAGCUCAUAUGAGUUUAAAAGACGAGAAGACCCUAUAGAAUUUAAUAUAUGUAUAUAUACAUUAUUUUUAGAAUUAAUAAUAAGUUAUAUAUAAUUAUAUUUUGUUGGGGUGAUAGAAAAAUUAAAUUAACUUUUUUUAUAUAAAAACAUUAAUGUAUGAAAAAGUGAUCCGUUAAUUACGAUUAUAAGAUUAAAUUACCUUAGGGAUAACAGCGUAAUUUUUUUUUAGAGUUCUUAUCGAAAAAAGAGUUUGCGACCUCGAUGUUGGAUUAAAAUUAACUUUUGGUGUAGGGGCU